rnacentral:pre_miRNA from 1 species
CAAAUACUCCCUCCGUCCGGAAAUACUUGUCAUCAAAAUGGAUAAAAGGAAAUGUAUCUAGACGUAUUUUAGUUUUAGAUACAUCUCUUUUUAUCCAUUUUGAUGACAAGUAUUUUCGGACGGAAGGAGUAGAAA